AUAUUUACCUGGCAAGGGAGAGAUACUAGUGUCAUGAAAGUGGUUUUCCCAGGCGGGAUUAGGCUCACCCAUUGUACUGUGAGUGCGCUGAUACCUGCAAUUUCCCCAAAUGUGGGAAACUCAACUGCGCAAUUGUGGUAGUGGGGGGCUGUGUUUCCAAUUUCCCAUU